GAGCGCCAUAUUGGGACCUCCACACUAACCGGAAACACGUGACCUCCACAGUAGCCGGAAACACGUGACCUCCACAAUCGGCAGAAAUACGUUCCUGCGUGCAUCAUCGACUGUGGAAACCUUGCAAGUGGAUCGUAAAGAUGCACAUAUCAAUUUGGAAUUCUGCCUCCAAGCCAGAAUUGCAGGAAUGCACCACGUGUUGCAGAAGACUCUUUCACUGCCCUCUGUGCCCCACUUUCAGCCCUACUGUCAGGGA